rnacentral:misc_RNA from 1 species
GUCUUCAUUGCUACCUCCAUUCUCGGGUAAAUGAGAUUCAGGGUCUUCAGACAAGUGAGAUUCAGGGUCUUCAAGAUGAACCGGGCUUUUGGUUUUACCGACUUCACCAGCUCCUUCCAACACAGGGACCUUGUCAGAUUGAUUAAGAAGCCGAAGGCAUCGCCGCCUCAAUUUUUCAUAUUCUGCCCUUUUCUUCUGUUUAAUGAUAGACCUUUCGGCCUCUGUACUAUUGAGUUCGUAUACUCCGAGUAGAAAAGGCCAAACCUCGGC